UUUAAAUGUAAUCAUAAAUUACCGUGUUUAAUUUUAAUCGUUUGUUUUAUUUAAUUUUUUUAUAAUUAGUAUUUUUUUGUUAUUAUGAGAUGAUAAAAUAUAAAUAGUAAUUUAUACAUGACUUAUGUUUUUAAAUUUUUUUUAGAAAAUUUUAAUUAAGACAGACAAUUAAAGUUGUGUACGGAAAAUCAUAGCUGUACUUAAU
rnacentral:pre_miRNA from 1 species